GAUGAAGAACUUAGCGAAAUGCGAUAAGUAAUGUGAAUUGCAGAAUUCCGUGAAUCAUCGAAUCUUUGAACGCACAUUGCGCCCCCUGGCAUUCCGGGGGGCAUGCCUGUCCGAGCGUCAUUUCUGCCCUCAAGCACGGCUUGUGUGUUGGGUGUGGUCCCCCCGGGGACCUGCCCGAAAGGCAGCGGCGACGUCCGUCUGGUCCUCGAGCGUAUGGGGCUCUGUCACUCGCUCGGGAAGGACCUGCGGGGGUUGGUCACCACUAUAUUUUACCACGGUUGACCUCGGAUCAGGUAGGAGUUACCCGCUGAACUUAAGCAUAUCAAUAAGCGGAGGA
rnacentral:misc_RNA from 1 species